rnacentral:rRNA from 1 species
GUCUACGGCCAGGCCACCCUGAACGUGCUCAAUCUCGUCUGAUCCUGGAAGCUAAGCAGAGUCGAUCCUGGUUAGCACUUGGAUGGGAGACCACCUAGGACUACCAGAUGCUAUAGGCA